UACGAAGGGGGCUAGCGUUGUUCGGAUUUACUGGGCGUAAAGCGCACGUAGGCGGAUUGGUCAGUUAGGGGUGAAAUCCUGGAGCUCAACUCCAGAACUGCCUUUAAUACUGCCAGUCUCGAGUCCGGAAGAGGUAAGUGGAACUCCUAGUGUAGAGGUGGAAUUCGUAGAUAUUAGGAAGAACACCAGUGGCGAAGGCGGCUUACUGGUCCGGUACUGACGCUGAGGUGCGAAAGCGUGGGGAGCAAACAGGAUGAGAAACCCUUGG
rnacentral:rRNA from 1 species